rnacentral:rRNA from 1 species
ACGCUCGACACCUACGGGGGGCAGCAGUGGGGAAUAUUGCACAAUGGGGGAAACCCUGAUGCAGCGACGCCGCGUGAGUGAAGAAGUAUUUCGGUAUGUAAAGCUCUAUCAGCAGGGAAGAAAAUGACGGUACCUGAGUAAGAAGCCCCGGCUAACUACGUGCCAACAGCCGCGGUAAUCUGAGCGGGCUGGCAAGGC